GUAAGGGCCCAGGUAGACUACCUGGUCGAUAGACGGCAGGUGCAAGGCUGGCGACAGCCUCAGCCGAGCCGCACUAAUCGCCCGAGCUCUUCC
rnacentral:rRNA from 1 species